UGGCUACUAAUGCAGAUGUUUUAUCAUGGGCUCGGCAAUAGUGCCCGAGAAACCAUGGAUGCUGCAGCUGGAGGAGCAUUCCUAUCACUUACCAUGUCUCAAGCCACAACUCUUGUGGAGAAGAUGGCGUCCAACCAAAGCUGGAAUGAAGAGAGGACCGAGACACGCAAGAGAGGUGAAGGUAUGCAUCAGCUCAACGAGGUAGACAUGCUGUCUGCAAAGCUAGACCUGC
rnacentral:lncRNA from 1 species